rnacentral:misc_RNA from 1 species
GAUGAAGAACGUAGCGAAAUGCGAUAAGUAAUGUGAAUUGCAGAAUUCAGUGAAUCAUCGAAUCUUUGAACGCACCUUGCACCCUUUGGUAUUCCGAAGGGUAUGCUCGUUUGAGUGUCAUUGUACUCUCACACUUCUAAUUCCUUUCGGGAUUGGGAGCGGUGGACUUGGGUGUUGCUGCUUUAGUUGUGGCUCACCUCAAAUAAGUUAGUGCAACUCUUGGUUGGACAUAGUACGGAGUGAUAAGUGUCUUCGCCGGCGCCUCUGUAAGGAGGGUGGCCGAUCGGGAGCUCUGUGCUUCAAACCGUCUUCGGACAAUCUUUGACAACUUGACCUCAAAUCGAGUAGGACUACCCGCUGAACUUAAGCAUAUCAAUAAGCGGAGGA